rnacentral:rRNA from 1 species
AUUGAACGCUGGCGGCAUGCUUUACACAUGCAAGUCGAGCGGCAGCGCGGGGGCAACCCUGGCGGCGAGCGGCGAACGGGUGAGUAAUGCAUCGGAACGUAUCCUCGAGUGGGGGAUAACCCAGCGAAAGUUGGGCUAAUACCGCAUGAGCUCUGAGGAGGAAAGCGGGGGACCUGCGAGGGCCUCGCGCUGGAGGAGCGGCCGAUGUCCGAUUAGCUAGUUGGUGGGGUAAAGGCUUACCAAGGCGACGAUCGGUAGCUGGUCUGAGAGGAUGAUCAGCCACACUGGGACUGAGACACGGCCCAGACUCCUACGGGAGGCAGCAGUGGGGAAUUUUGGACAAUGGGGGCAACCCUGAUCCAGCCAUGCCGCGUGAGUGAAGAAGGCCUUCGGGUUGUAAAGCUCUUUCGGACGGAACGAAAUGGGCGGGACUAAUACUCCUGUCUGAUGACGGUACCGUAAGAAGAAGCACCGGCUAACCACGUG